UACGGAGGAUGCAAGCGUUAUCCGGAAUUACUGGGCGUAAAGCGUGCGUAGGUGGUUUGUUAAGUCUGUUGUGAAAGCCCCGGGCUCAACCUGGGAAUUGCAUUUGAGACUGUGUAGCUAGGGUGCGGAAGAGGGAAGCGGAAUUUCCGGUGUAGCGGUGAAAUGCGUAGAUAUCGGAAGGAACACCAGUGGCGAAAGCGGCUUCCUGGUCCAGCACCGACGUUCAGGCACGAAAGCGUGGGGAGCAAACAGG
rnacentral:rRNA from 1 species